GGCUGUUAUAUUACUAGUGAAGUUGACACACGGGAAGCUUCCUACCCAUGUUAUAUUGUGGUGCCGAGAAUAUGUUGACAAUCUAAUUCUAGUUUAGGAUGGCUCAAUCAGAUAUGCUGUUUCUACUUAUUUUGUGAAUUGGAUUCACAUUGAGAGACUAUACUUGUUGACAUUUAUAUAUAGCAUGGAAGUUUCCAUACCGUUGAUUUUGUUUGGUAACCCUUCCUGAGCUAAUUGUCAAUUACUAAUAAUCAUAGUGUAGAAAUCCAACUUGACGGCUCAACAAAUGCAUCUGAUCCAGAUCAACAGCUGAUAAAGACGAAAUUUAUACAGUCAAACAUACUGUAGAGAAGCAGUGUGAGAAAAAUAUCAAGAAAACGCUGCAACUAUAGGAACAUCCAUUUCAGCUUAUAUUCAAUUAAUUCUCAUGCAAAUUGGCAGAAUAAAACAUCAUAAGCAAUGAAAUUAAGCACUAGAAAGAUACUUCUAUUUCGAGUUGUUCUUGUUCUGGUUUUUUACAUAGCAAAUGCUUCAGACACCAUUAGCACCAAUAAAUCCCUGCAAGAUUCAGAAACUUUAGUCUCCAAUGACAAAAGAUUCAUAUUUGGGUUCUUUAGUCCAGAAAAUUCAACGAAUCGGUAUGUUGGUAUUAUGUUUAAUAUCCAAUCAUCAACUGUUGUAUGGGUAGCCAACAGAGACAACCCUUUACAAGAUUCUAGUGGAAGUGUUACAAUAUCAGAAGACGGAAAUCUUGUAAUCUUGAAUGCACAGAAGAAAAGUAUAUGGUCAUCCAAUAUUUCAACAGCUGUGAGAAAUUCUACUGCCCAGCUCUUGGAUAAUGGGAACUUAGAAUUGAAAGACAGCUCCAGUGGGAUGGUCCUCUGGGAAAGUUUCCGCGAUCCUUCAGAUUCCUUCUUGCAGUAUAUGAAAAUUGGCGUCGAUAAGAGUACUAACACAACAAAUCUGCUGAAAUCAUGGAAAAGUCCUUCGGAUCCAUCUGCUGGGAGUUUCUCAGCUGGUAUUCAACCUGAAACGGUUCCCCAGAUUUACAUAUGGAAAAAUGGGAGACUCCCUCAUUGGCGUAGCGGUCCGUGGAAUAAACAGAUUUUCAUUGGAAUACCAGACAUGACUUCUUUCUACCUCAAUGGAUUUGAUCUAGUAAAUGACAACAAGGGAACUGCAUACCUCUCCUUUUUAUACGCAAAUCAGGCUGAGAUUGCCUAUUUCACCUUGAACUCAACAGGGUUUUUGCAUCAGAAAUAUUUGGAUCCUAAGAAGAAUGAUUGGGAAGUGACAUGGGAAAGUCAGGUAAGCGAGUGCGAUUUUUAUGGAAAAUGUGGGCCUUUUGGAAGCUGUGAUCCUAGAAGCUCACCAAUCUGUUCUUGUUUAGAUGGAUUUAAGCCGAAAAGUGAAGAGGAAUGGAGGAAAGGAAAUUGGACUGGUGGAUGUCUCAGAAAGUCCAUGUUAGAGAGUGAAAGAAACAACUCUAACAUUGAGCAAGGUAAGCAAGAUUGGUUUCUGAAGCUGCAGUCAAUGAAAGUACCGGAUCUUGCUAUUUGGGUGCCUUUUGCCGAUGAAGAUUGUUAUAAGGGUUGCUUGAGGAAUAAUUCCUGCAUAGCUUAUUCAUACUACAUAGGCAUAGGAUGCAUGCAUUGGGAAGAAAUCUUACUUGAUGUUCAGAAAUUCUCCACGGGCGGGGCAGAUUUANUUUGUUCGCCUUUCGUACACUGAGCUUGGUAAUACCUUUUUCUUUUCAGAACUAUAAUAUAAGCUAGUACAAAACUCUGCUUACCCAAAACAUAUGUCUGAUGUAAGCUUAUUUCCGAAUGCAGAUCAAAAGAGAGAUAUGAAAGUAGCCAUUGGGAUCAUAGUACCAGUAGGCUCAAUAGUUCUUGCCAUUUUUGGAUACUUUUCCUGUAAAUAUUUAGCUAAGCACAGAGGUAACAAUCUAAUCUGUAACAUUAGAAAAUUUUUAGUAGCUUUAAUCAUUCAUUAUCAAUUUAUCUCUAAUGUGUUUUUGAAUCAGCAAUGAGGAAAAAGAGUGAGCUCUUAUUACGAGAAUCAUUGCCAAACUUCUACAAGGAAAGCUUGGUUACAGAUGACAUCAACCAAGCUAAAUUUGAAGAGCUACUUGUAUACAACUUUGACAUCUUAGCAAGUGCAACCGACAAUUUUCACUUGUCUAGCAAGCUUGGGCAGGGAGGUUUUGGUCCAGUUUACAAGGUAAUGUUCUCUGUCAUUGAGUCAUUUAUUAUCUUUUUCAGAAUAGAAAUUGACGGAAUAUGAUAUAACUACAGGGAAAAUUGCCAGAGGGAAAAGAAAUUGCUGUGAAAAGGCUUUCACAGUCUUCUGGUCAGGGGCUAGAGGAGUUUAUGAAUGAGGUUGUGGUGAUUUCCAAACUUCAACACCGUAAUCUUGUUAAACUCCUUGGCUGCUGCACAGAAAGAGGAGAGAAGAUGCUGGUUUAUGAAUACAUGCCAAAAAGAAGCUUAGAUGCAUAUCUCUUCGGUUAGUUGAUUACCAUUACUUUUCUUUUAUAUCUCAUAGGUCUAGCUAAAAAGGAAAUUGUUUGUAAUAUUCUCAAACUUGUAUAUUUUUUAAUGUACUUACAGGUUCAAACCCUGAAGAGAAAGAGUUCCUUGAUUGGAGUAAACGUGUUAUCAUCAUUGAGGGAAUUGGUCGAGGCCUUCUUUACCUUCACAGAGAUUCAAGAUUAAAGAUUAUUCACAGGGAUUUGAAAGCAAGCAACAUUUUGUUGGAUGAACAACUGAACCCGAAAAUUUCAGAUUUUGGCAUGGCAAGGAUUUUUCCAGGCAACCAAGAUCAGGCCAACACAGAGAGAGUUGUUGGUACCUAGUAAGUUCGUGUAUCUUUGUCUUUAUCUUUCAUGAUUGCAAAGAAUAUACAAAGUAAACAUUCAAAAUUAUAACAUGAUGCAGUGGUUACAUGGCACCUGAAUACGCAAUGGAAGGAAGAUUCUCAGAAAAAUCAGAUGUUUACAGUUUCGGAGUUUUGUUACUGGAAAUUAUUAGUGGAAGGAGGAAUACUAGCUUUCACCAAGAUGACUGUGCCUUAAGCCUUCUAGCAUGUGUAAGUUCAUAUGAAAAUUAAGCUACUACUACUUUUUAUGAAAUGUCAACUUUUCAUAAUUCAAGUUUCCAUUGUGUUGUAAAAUGCGCUUGCUCUUCAGGCAUGGAAGUGUUGGAACGAAAAUAACAUUGUCGAAUUGGUUGACCCCAAGAUAAUAGACAUGCAGUUUGAAAGGGAAAUUCUGAGGUGUGCACAUGUUGGACUAUUAUGUGUUCAAGAAUAUGCAGAAGAUAGACCAAAUGUUUCGGUGGUUCUGUCUAUGCUCACUAGUGAAAUUUCUGAUUUGCCAAGUCCUAAACAACCUGCAUUUACAACAAGACCGAGCUGUUCCAAGAAGGAAUCUUCUAAAACUCAAGGCUCUGUGAACACAGUUAGCAUUACUAUUAUGGAAGGACGUUAAAACAACAACAACAACAACAACAAAAGUAAAAACCCCACUAGUGGGGGUCUGGAGAGGUAGAGUGUACGCAGACCUUACCUCUACCCCGGAGGGGGUAGAGAGGCUGUUUCCGGAAAACCCUCGGCUCAGAGACAAAAGAUCCGUAACAACGGAAACUAGACAAAUAACAACAACGAUAAAACAUUUUAACAUUUUAAGUUGGACAUGUAUUUUAUUCCUUCCCCUGUAAUUAGGGAUGUAUCUGAUUCUUUCCUGUAAUUAUUACUGCCUCUGAUUUAUUUGGUAAUCAUUCCACUCAAUAUGAUCUCAAUACAUUAAGAAUUCAAGAGAAAAGAGUAAACUGUGCAAGUCACUCAUGCAGUGGGUGUUUAAUCAUAAAUUCAGCACUAAGAACAUCAGAUUAAUAAAUUGUUUUAGUUCUUCACCCUCCACAAACACACACACAUAACGCACAGAGAGAAAGCAAUGCUAUUGUUUGAUGAUAGAAUCCAUAUCCAAGCAAGAAGAUAGCAAAGACUUCAAACUCAAAGUUGUUAAGCAGUAGCCUAAAAAGAUGUGUUUCCUGAAAUUAGAGAAGUUCAUCUACUACUAGAUUUGGAGUUACCUUUCUUUCAUGGGGAAAAUGACUUCCAUUACAGCUAUCUUAACGUUUAAUUAUAAUAUCAAUUGUUCCAGUCAACACUUAAAAACAUUAUUAUCAAUCUUUACCACUGAUAAUUUUUUAAUCAAAACUGUAUCUUAUUUGCUAAUAUUACUAUUAUUAAUGUUCAAAAGUGGCCACAUUAAAAGUAAGAGAAAAAUACUGACCUUUGGUCUUUCUCGGGAAAAAAAGCAUUUGUUCGUAUAGUUCAGCUUCUUAUGUCCGAUACUAAUUACCGCCGCAUCCAACUGAAAUAUAUAUAGCGUGGCUGGUCAGGAUCUGAAACCUCUGCAUUUUAAUCUCCUCAUUCAGGUUUUGAUUUUGACAUCUCGAGAGUAAAUUAUAAAUCUGCUUUCAUUAUUUUAACCAACUCAGCCACUGCUCAUAUUAGAUAAUUUUGCAAUCGAAUGGAUAGUAUAAUACGGGCAAAUGCCCAUAUGAGGCCCAUCAAUACCAAAGCUCCGAAUCU
rnacentral:lncRNA from 1 species